rnacentral:rRNA from 1 species
GUGGGGAAUUUUGGACAAUGGGCGCAAGCCUGAUCCAGCAAUGCCGCGUGCAGGAAGAAGGCCUUCGGGUUGUAAACUGCUUUUGUACGGAACGAAACGGUCCGGGUUAAUACCCUGGGCUAAUGACGGUACCGUAAGAAUAAGCACCGGCUAACUAAGUGCCAGCAGCCGCGGUAAUACGUAGGGUGCAAGCGUUAAUCGGAAUUACUGGGCGUAAAGCGUGCGCAGGCGGUUUUGUAAGACAGGCGUGAAAUCCCCGGGCUCAACCUUGGAAUUGCGCUUGUGACUGCAAGGCUGGAGUGCGGCAGAGGGGGAUGGAAUUCCGCGUGUAGCAGUGACAUGCGUAGAUAUGCGGAGGAACACCGAUGGCGAAGGCAAUCCCCUGGGCCUGCACUGACGCUCAUGCACGAAAGCGUGGGGAGCAAACAGGAUUAGAUACCCGAGUAGUCC